UCUAAACGACUCUCGGCAACGGAUAUCUCGGCUCUCGCAUCGAUGAAGAACGUAGCGAAAUGCGAUACUUGGUGUGAAUUGCAGAAUCCCGUGAACCAUCGAGUCUUUGAACGCAAGUUGCGCCCGAAGCCUUCUGGCUGAGGGCACGCCUGCCUGGGCGUCAC
rnacentral:rRNA from 1 species